rnacentral:lncRNA from 1 species
GCAGCCCUGGCCUGGCUUCGAGAGGGGCUCUGGGAACAGGCGGCCCCGGGUAGCUGACCACACCUGACCAGGCCAGUCUUUGGGAAGCCGCCCUCUCAGCCUAUGCACUGCAGGGACACUGGGUGGAGAGGGCUGUGCCUCAGUGCCCCUGCAGGGCGGUGCAGCAGCUGGCCGUGCAGGGGGAGGGGGCCUUGCCUUCUGGCUCAGGGAGGAAGCGGCUGCUUUCAGCUGCCUUCGCCUUGCCUCCUGAGGCGGCUUUGGAACCCUCCUGAGGUUUGUGGCCCUGAAGUUCCUUCCUGAGACCCCGCAGGGGACUAAGCCCUCGGCCCAGGGGCACCGGGGAGGGCAGAACCUCAAGACAGGGGCCCGGGACACAGGACAGAGUGUGUGGGGCAGGUGUGCAGGCUGUGCCCAAGGGGCCUCGGGGUUGAAGGGGCUCUUGGAGAUGAUGUCGACAUCGCGGUUCCUGAGCGGGUGCCCAGAUCUGGAUGAGCUGUUUUCUGGAGAAAGCAGGAAAGUGACGUCAUUUUGUGGCUUCAGAUUGACCGCAGCCUGGCAGAGAGGGAGUGGUGGCAGGAAGUGAAGCUGCUGGCUUCCCAGUCACGGCCUCCAUGAUCCACGUGUGGCAGCAAGAAUCACAGCUGCAUCAUGACACCCAGAGGGAAAGCAGCUCAAGCUGCAGUUUAAGGCGACUCCACGGAGGGCCCUGGCUUAGUUGUUGCACAGCAUGGGGUCAGAUGGAUGCCCUGGAAGAGUCAGCAGAGACCCCCUGGCCUUUGGAGUUUGUCUCUGAGCGAGAGACACUGUUGGGAUGACCGGCGAGUGGCGUUGGGUCCACAUGGGGGCCCUGGUCCGGCUGAGUCUACUGAGCACAGGCCUGCCCCUUGCCACCCAGCUCUGCCCAUAUGUGGCCGUCAUUCCUGGGCUUCACCUGGGAAACGUCCUUUGAGGCAGCUCAGCUUUUCCACAGUGGGUCACGUUGUUUGCUGCUGGAGACUGGCUGAGUCUGUGCUUCCAGUAUAGGAAGGUUUAGGAGGCGGUCAGCAGGCCUCUCCUGUGGCCACUGUGCCCGAGGCAGGUGUGCGCUGAGAACCAGGUGUGCAGAGAGAGCCAGGUGUGCACUGAGAACCAAGUGUGCAGAGUCAGGUGUGCGCUGCAGAGCCGGGUGUGCACUGAGAACCAGGUGUGCAGAGAGAGUCAGGUGUGCGCUGCAGAGCCGGGUGUGCACUGAGAACCAGGUGUGCAGAGAGAGUCAGGUGUGCGCUGCAGAGCCGGGUGUGCACUGAGUCAGGUGUGCAGAGAGUCAGGUGUACACUGCAGAGCCGCGUGUGCACUGAGAGCAGGUGUGCAUGGAGAGCCAGGUGUCUGUUGAGAACCAGGUGUGUGCAGAGAGCCAGGUGUGCACUGCAUAUCUAAGUGCUCAUGUGGAGUCUUGGGCUGGGCAGGUGCUGCCCAGGACCCUGGCUCUCUGGCUGUCUUCUGUGCAUUUGGGGAUGGGAGAAGGGGCUCGGCUCUGGCUGGAGGGCAGCCAGGCAGACUUGCCAGCCAGCACCGCCAGGUGAUAAGAGCUGGUGCCCACAGGUACUCAGCAAAUGUCUGCAUUUUGGGGAGGGCUGGAGAAAAUGAAGGCCAUGCCCUCUCUGCAAGGCUCCGCACAGGCCCUGUUUCCCAGUCCUUCAGCCACAGGGUGUCCCGGCAACAAGGGUGCCAGGUCGCCUGCACCCUGACUGUCUCCUGCGGAAAGGACAGCGCCUGCUCCUUGUCCUCCAGUAGCUGCUGGACUCCGGGGUCUGGGUGCUCUGGCGCCCGGCGGCUGGGUCCCCACUACAAGGUAGACACCAGCCUUGAAUCCAACUGUCGAGGAAAUGGGGUGGGCGGCGGAGGCUGGGGAGAUCGGGAGGAAGGGAGGUAUGGGCUUGAGAGACAGGAACCCACCCUCUGCAAGUGCAGUGGCCUGUCCCCUCCAGAACGCUCUCAUUCUUCGUGCUGAAGGGAGCUGGGGGCGUGGCAGGCCUGCGAGACGAAUGGGCGCUAUCAGCUCAGGGCUCUGCCUCGGAGGAGCCACCCGGAGGCAGCACCCAUGGGUGUGGGGGCUUGGCCACAGGGGACGUCAGGCCUCCUCGGUGCAGCACCAGAUGCGUCUAACAGCCUCCGCCCCGUGGGCGCCCACUCAGACUUGCUGCUCAGGUGCCUAGAGCAGAAGCCACCUCCUCAGAGGCCAGCGCGCCAGCCUGGCACCACGGGGACGCUCCCAGGGGGUGCCCAGAGGGAACGUGCGCAUCGGGCGGGGUACUGCGGCGCGUGUGGGCCGUGAGCCCCGCCCUGUAGUCGGACACUGGAGUCCCGGAUCCUACAGAUCUGAAAGGCUGAGUCGGAUGCAGCAAAGGCGAAGCGGGGUUCGCAGCCCCAGACUCUUGGGCGGGGGGGUCAGCGAGCAACCGGGAGGGGCGCCGCGGGCCAUUCGCCGCUUCUCCUGGGCCGAGGGCGCAGG